rnacentral:rRNA from 1 species
AGUCACUGGGAAGAACCUUCUAAACCCAGAGGCGCAGUGAAGGUGAGAUGAGGGAGAAUUUUUUUUCUUCUCUCGGGGGAGGAUGGCCCGGUGAUGAGCCGGGCCCGCACUCCCGGGGCGUGUCGUAAGGUUUCUACCGAGACACGCACCCAGAGCGUACGCGUUGGGACCCGAAAGAUGGUGAACUAUGCCUGGUCAGGACGAAGUCAGGGGAAACCCUGAUGGAGGUCCGCAGCGAUUCUGACGUGCAAAUCGAUCGUGAGAGCUGGGUAUAGGGGCGAAAGACUAAUCGAACCAUCUAGUAGCUGGUUCCCUCCGAAGUUUCCCUCAGGAUAGCUGGCGCCCGUUUUGACCGGACGAGUCUCAUCCGGUAAAGCGAAUGAUUAGAGGCCUUGGGGCCGAAACGACCUCAACCUAUUCUCAAACUUUAAAUGGGUGAGACCCGCGGCUUUCCCGAGCGAAGCCGUGGAAGAGAGGAUCAGGGUGCCAAGUGGGCCAUUUUUGGUAAGCAGAACUGGCGCUGUGGGAUGAA